rnacentral:sRNA from 1 species
UCUCUCUCUCUCUCUCUCUCUCUCUCUCUCUCUCUCUCGGCAUAGAAUCUACUGCCUCUAAACUCGCCAUUGAUGUCCAUUACUUCUCCAUCGCCUUACAAAGUUCAGAUCUAUGGACUAUGAUUGGCCAAUCUUCUUCCUCGACGAUGAAGGUGGUAAUUCUCCAUAGCUUCUUUGAAUUUGAAUUGCUGGAUCUGAAUCAUAAUUCCAUCAUCUCUCGCUUUAUUUUAAAAGAGGAAUAAGAAACAAUUGAAAUUUUUAAUUGAUUCUAAUUAUAUAAGAUUAGAAUCUUUGGGUUCCCUAUAUAGUUUCCCCUUAGGGUUUAGCUUUCUCCCAUCAAAAAGCUUUUAACUGAUUUUAUUGGGUUUAUUGGAAUUGUAUGGUGAUAAAGAUGUUGAGUUCGUCGGAGAAGAUGGAGUGAAAAUUUAGGGGCAAUAUCGUCUUUUCAUUUGCCAAAAACUGCCUAACCUCAUAAGCCUAAUCAUAAUGUGCUCUUUAAAAAUUUAUGGCCCAAAAUGUACCCAAUAUUAUAAAGGGUUUAUUGGCAAAGUAGACACUUUUUCAAAAAUAAUUUGUAAAGUAGGUAAUUUUUUUUAAAAUUAGAGAGAUAGACACUUUUUUUGUUUUUUGUGAGAUAGAGAAUUUGUCUAAUAGACUAAAAGACAAAAUACAUAUCAAAUACUAAAAUACCCUUUAUCUUGAGAGUAAAUAAAAAUUAUAUGAGAAACCAUUUUUACUUUAUUUUGUUUGUCUUUAUCUUUUUAUUUU